rnacentral:tRNA from 1 species
UGGGGUGUGGCUCAGUGGCAGAGCACCUGCCCAGCAUGCAGGAGGUGCUGCGUUCUAUCCCCAGCACUGCAA